GACGAACGCUGGCGGCGUGCUUAACACAUGCAAGUCGAACGGAAAGGCCCUGCUUUUGUGGGGUGCUCGAGUGGCGAACGGGUGAGUAACACGUGAGUAACCUGCCCUUGACUUUGGGAUAACUUCAGGAAACUGGGGCUAAUCCCGGAUAGGAGCUCCUGCUGCAUGGUGGGGGUUGGAAAGUUUCGGCGGUUGGGGAUGGACUCGCGGCUUAUCAGCUUGUUGGUGGGGGAGUGGCUUACCAAGGCUUUGACGGGUAGCCGGCCUGAGAGGGUGACCGGCCACAUUGGGACUGAGAUACGGCCCAGACUCCUACGGGAGGCAGCAGUGGGGAAUAUUGCACAAUGGGCGGAAGCCUGAUGCAGCAACGCCGCGUGCGGGAUGACGGCCUUCGGGUUGUAAACCGCUUUCGCCUGUGACGAAGCGUGAGUGACGGUAAUGGGUAAAGAAGCACCGGCUAACUACGUG
rnacentral:rRNA from 1 species